GAAUGGAAUAUGACGACUUUGCCGAGUUCUAUGGCAACUUGGCAACAAAGGACUUCACCAUCGCGACCACGCUCCUCAUGCCAUGGCUGCACACCUGGGCAGCUGCAGCACCAAACCCAAGCAACAACCCAAAGUAUGAUGUUGUCUCAUGAGAAGUAGUAAAAUUGGGCUUGCGUGCUAGACAUUGCAACUGCUUGCUUGCAUGAUCUGCAGGACUCAAAUGAGGGGGUUGCAACCCCAUAUGGUAAACUUGCUUCAGCAGGCAUGUGUACAGAAGCGAGAAACGGGAGCUGCAGACGGCAUCAUCCACCAAAGCUCUGCCUACGAUGAAGAAAGGUGACAUAAGCAUGAUGCCGCUCUGCCUGAGAUAUGGGUGCCGGUUUGGAAGCCAUUGAGGAUGGAGGCAUAUGUUGGCUACUGGCUCAUAUCACGGGGCAUGACACGUGAAUAGUGACCACUGGUGAGUUGUUCUCUGGGGGAAAUCAUGAUGUGACAGGUUGAUUAAGGCAACUACCCAGGUUACAGGAAGAAGCCGUUGAGGAAGUAUGUUGGUUACUAGCUGAUACACGGAUCUAAGACUUGGUGAGAUGUUCCCAGCUGGGGAAGUCAUGAUAGAAUGGGUUGGUUUUAGGCAAGUAUCCUAGUUCCGACCUGAGUUCGAUUCCCGGGCAUGCUUUUUCUGCUUGGGAGGUGAUAGCUGUGACUACAGGUAUCUACACAGUUACGUUCAUCACCCUGAUUUUGAGGGGGGGUAAUUGUCAUUCAUGUGCAAGCAAACAAGGGCAACUGCAGUUUUUGGAUUUUGUGUCAAAUUACCUCUUGCUGCAUAUAUUCUGUAUGGAGUCUCCUAUACAGGGUUUGGUGUAUUUAACUUCUGAUGGGCAUGUUUGUCUGUCUACAGGGCCCACCCAGCAACCUGCAGCUGCUGUGGACAACACCACAUGCUUUCCCCACCACACAUCAGCACGCAGAGUCAGUGGAAGGUUAAAGCAGUAGUAAGGUGUGUGGCAUAAAACUGCAUUCUAAGUUCCACAUCACAGUCAUUGCAGUUCUUGAUGGUCUGACAAAGGUGCUACUGUAUGCCCCUGCCUGAUCUUUGCUGCAUACAGGCUCACAAGCUGCUUGUGGAGGACUGCUGCUGCAGCAAUGUCUUGUAGUGUUAACUAACGGCGAUAGAGGACUAAUACUAGGCAUGACUACCAGAAGGUGUUAGGGUGGAUAGUGCAUGUGACCUAUGAUGUAGCAUGUUUUGAGGCAAAUUUUGUUGAGAGAUGGAUGAGCUGCAGCUGGGUGCACCCAAUAUGAAACUGUUUGGAGCUGUUUCGAAGUUUCUGCUGCAGCAGCUGCUGCAUACAGGCUCACAAGCCGCGGCUUGUGGAGAAGCUACUGCUAGCAGCAGUGCUGCUGCACUGUACAGUCACUGUACAGACUUGUCUUGGAGUGUUAACUGACGGUGAUGGAGGACUACUUCUAGGCAUGAAUACCAGAAAGUGUUAGGGUGGAUAGAGCACUUCUGAGCUAUAAUGUAGCAUGUUUUGAGGCAAAUUGUUGACGGAUCGAUGAGCUGCAGCUGCAGCAGCCGCUGUUGUGGAAAUGUUUGGUGCUGUUUGGAAGCUGCAGAUUGUUUGGAAGCUGCACCUGCUUCAGCUGAAGCAGGCAAUGCAUAUGGCUUAAUGUUGUUACAUAGCAGGACUUCGGAAUUUCGUAUGCAUGUAGCUGCUGCUAGGCGAUGUGUAUAUGUAAAAUUAUGAAUCCACGCAUACAUGGUCUAUCCCUACCCCUAUGGCAGCCAAACUACGUGUUACAGCCCCUCCCCUAGCAACUGGACUAGUUACUCCUGAGACGGGUUGCGGCCCAGUUGGUACCCCGUAGCGGCCCAGU
rnacentral:lncRNA from 1 species